CANNCGUNANGCUGCCCUGACNGGCCUCUAANACAUGCCCACGNGNGCNCGCGGNGUACACGAGGANUCCUCUUGCNACNUCUGCUNACUAGCGGCGGACGGGUGAGUAAUGCCUAGGAAUCUGCCUAGUAGUGGGGGAUAACGUUCGGAAACGAACGCUAAUACCGCAUACGUCCUACGGGAGAAAGUGGGGGACCUUCGGGCCUCACGCUAUUAGAUGAGCCUAGGUCGGAUUAGCUAGUUGGUGAGGUAAUGGCUCACCAAGGCUACGAUCCGUAACUGGUCUGAGAGGAUGAUCAGUCACACUGGAACUGAGACACGGUCCAGACUCCUACGGGAGGCAGCAGUGGGGAAUAUUGGACAAUGGGCGAAAGCCUGAUCCAGCCAUGCCGCGUGUGUGAAGAAGGUCUUCGGAUUGUAAAGCACUUUAAGUUGGGAGGAAGGGCAGUAAAUUAAUACUUUGCUGUUUUGACGUUACCGACAGAAUAAGCACCGGCUAACUCUGUGCCAGCAGCCGCGGNUAAUA
rnacentral:rRNA from 1 species